AGGAGAGCUUGGAAAGGG
rnacentral:miRNA from 1 species